GCUACAAAGCCAUGCAGCCCCCCCCCCCACACACACACACACUCGAACACGCUACAUGCACCCCGACCCCCUCCCCGAAAUGACACAACACAUGCAGAAAAUGAAUGCGCUUCACUUCCUGUUGACCUUUGACCCCCCACUUCCUGCCGACUCCCCAAAAAGCAGAAAAGCCAGACAGAGGCGGGAAGGAGAACGAAGCCCCGCCUCUUUCUCCUCUCUUGCUCCUUGGCUCUCUCACUAGUAAAGUUAGUUAACAGUCCAAUGCCACGUCAAGCCUGCGAGUCACUGCAGAGACGAGGCGCUCGCCCACAGAUGCUGAUUCCAGAAGAUGUUACUGGACCCACUUUUAUGAUUUAUUCGGGAACAUGGAAUGAUGGGGAAGAAGCGACGGUGAGGAUGAAGAUGCACACUGAGAAACACUGGGAAAACUGAGAUCAGCACUGGACAAACAGCUGGACUGAAGCUGAAGAGGAGGAUGAGACUCCAUCACAGUCUCUUCAGACGCCCGUCCCGCCUGCCCAGUGUUCAGACUACCUGUUCAGGAAGUAGUGUUUGUACAGUAGUCUGCACAUUGGUUAGGCUGCACGGGGAUGCUCGAGACGGUCCGUCGCCAUGACGACUCCAGAACACAUUGCCAUGACGACAGCAGAUCAUGACACUGAUGUAAUCAGCGUGGAGUGAUGUCAGAGAGAUAAUGAAAUGCAAAAUAAAGUAUUAAAUGAUACCAA